rnacentral:rRNA from 1 species
GACGAACGCUGGCGGCGUGCUUAACACAUGCAAGUCGAACGGAAAGGCCCUGCUUGCAGGGUACUCGAGUGGCGAACGGGUGAGUAACACGUGGGUGAUCUGCCCUGCACUUCGGGAUAAGCCUGGGAAACUGGGUCUAAUACCGGAUAGGAGCCAUUUUUAGUGUGAUGGUUGGAAAGUUUUUUCGGUGUAGGAUGAGCUCGCGGCCUAUCAGCUUGUUGGUGGGGUAAUGGCCUACCAAGGCGGCGACGGGUAGCCGGCCUGAGAGGGUGGACGGCCACAUUGGGACUGAGAUACGGCCCAGACUCCUACGAGAGGCAGCAGUGGGGAAUAUUGCACAAUGGGCGCAAGCCUGAUGCAGCGACGCCGCGUGGGGGAUGACGGCCUUCGGGUUGUAAACUCCUUUCGCUAUGGACGAAGCUUUUUGUGACGGUACCUAGAUAAGAAGCACCGGCUAACUACGUG